AUAAUAAUAAUAAUAGUAGUAAUAAUAAAAUAGCUCUGUGGACUCUGAUAAUGCUUUCGCUCUUAUGAGUAAAGCUACAUAUAUUUAACUUAUACACAUGCCAAUGUCCCAUCAUUUUAGAACAUGAUAAAGGGAACACAGGGAGAAUUAAAUUUUUUUUUUUUUUUUGAGAUGGAAUUUUGCUCUUCUUGCUCAGGGUGGAGUGCAAUGGCACGAUCUCAGCUCACCACAACCUCCGUCUCCCGGGUUCAAGCGAUUCUCCUGCCUCAGCCUCCUGAGUAGCUCGGAUUACAGGGCCCUGGACACAGGAUGAUCCCGGAUGGUGAGGCGGAGGUGAGGACAUUGCUGUAUGAGCGGAGAGUUGGCUGAGCUGCUAGAAUCCCUUCCUCUGAAACGAAGCAGUGAAGGGAUGGUGUGGGGAAGGUUGUCAACCAGCCAGCAUGCUCCUGGGCCUGUGGAAGGGGAGAGUGUCCACGGUUCACUUGGGGUCCCAGGGACCUUGCCAGCCCUGUACUGGGCUUUGGCAUGAAGGGGUGGAGAAGCUCUUCCAAGCUCUGACUGGUGUCUUGGUUACUAAAUCCUGAGGGUGGCAUGAUGAGAACACCAGUGGGGAGCCUUUGGCUGUGGGGUUCUGUGAGUGAGGCAGCAUGAAGCAGAAGUUGCCUCUAGAUGUCGCCAUCUGACCACACUGGCAUCAGCUGAGUGCCGUUGGAGGAAAAUGUUCAUGAGAUGCGGCCUGAGGCCUGUCCCCAGCCCAAGCUGGGUCUCCUGGCGACUGCAGCUUGGAGCACCUUUGGAAAGCCUCCUGGGACUUGGGAUGUCUUUGGGGCUGGGAACAAGUGUGGGUGGAGGAAGGGCCGGUCCUGUGGUCACCCAGCCCUGUCUUGUAGGGAAGGAACUGCUGGGGUCCCAGGAGAAGCCAGAGCCAGGCAGUGAGCUCCAGAUGGUGGGGGAGUGGCUGCCACCUUGACCAUCUUCCCCCGCAUGGCUGUUCUCCUCUGUGGACCACCCCAUGCCUCUGACCCCCAUCCUCCCUACCCCAUUCCCUACAGCCAGUCCCCACAACCACUCUUCCAGCAGCCCGGGGGGCCAUUCCCAUCUGUCCUCCCCUGUCCCAGUUCCAAUAAUGGACUACACCACCUUUAUCUUCCACUGCCCCAAAUGACGGCUGUCCGUCUAGUCAGUUCCACCCACUACACCACAGUCAUCGUGACCAUGUCACUCCUUUGCUCCGAACCAUGGCUCCCCCUCACCCUAAGGAGGAAAGCUCAGACUCCCUCUCCCCAGGGUGGCCUCUCCAGCCUCCUCCAUCUGUUCCCAGCAGGGUGGGCAUGGCUGUCACAUGUUCCUAGAACAUGCCAGGCCUUUGGCCUUGCUGUUCCCUCCGCUGGAACACCUACCACUGCACCAUCCACCUCCACCUGUCUUGUUCCUGCGACUCAGCAUGACUCUGCUGAAGCAUCCCCUGCCCUGGGAAGACUUCCUGGCUUUCCAGGCAGUACCAGCUCCUGUCUCCAGUUCCCAUGGCACUGGGACCUCCAUCACAUCUCCUCAGAUAGCUUGCCAAUGUCUGUCAGUCUGUCUGCCCUCUUGGCGGCACCAGGGACCUCCUCUGACUCUCCUCUGAGUCCCCAGGGAUCAGCCCAGUGCCUGGUAUGAAGUAGGCACUUGCACAUGCAUUUAAAAUGUUAGGGAGGAAAGAGUGGGAAAAGAGAAAGAGAUCCUUGUCUUUCCUCACAAGCUGAAGUCACCUCUUGCAAGCAUUGGGCCUGUGCCCUGGUUAUCCCUGGGAUGGAGCCGAGAACCCUCCAACUUUUGCUUCUUGCUAUGGGCUUUUUGUUUUGAGACAGAGUCUCACUCUGUUGCCCAGACUGGAGUGCAGUGGCAGGAUCAUGGCUCACUGUAGCCUCAACAAUGUCCGGCCUCUAAGCCCAAGCUAAGCCAUCAUAUCCCUUGUGACCUGCACGUAUACAUCCAGAUCACCUGAAGCAACUGAAGAUCCACAGAAGAAGUGAAAAUAGCCUUAACUGAUGACAUUCCACCAUUGUGAUUUGUUUCUGCCCCACCCUAACUGAUCAAUGUACUUUGUAAUCUGCCCCACCCUUAAGAAUGUUCUUUGUAAUUCUCCCCACCCUUGAGAAGGUACUUUGUGAGAUCCACUCCCUGCCUGCCAAACGUUGCUCCUAACUCCACCGCCUAUCCCAAAACCUGUAAGAACUAAUGAUUAAUCCACCACCCUUUCUUUGCUGACUCUCUUUUCGGACUCAGCCCACUUGCACCCAGGUGAAAUAAACAGCCUUGUUGCUCACACAAA